GUCACAAGUAGGAUUCUCUAAAAGUACUCACCAAGAGGGAGUUUGGGGAGCAAGAAGUUUAUUAAGAAACAACAUCUGUGAAGGGAAGAGGGGAAGGCAAUAUUGGGCAAAAGAAGUCAAACUGUGACAGUUUCCCAACAAAUCUCAGUAAAUCUGUCUGAGGAGCUCUGGAGCCAGAUUGCCCAUCAGAGUGUCUUAACAUAUGACAGAAAUGGCCUGGACUUCAAAUGUGGACUGCUCCAGGAAGGAUUUGAUCUCAGGUAAGACAGCCAUCUCUAGCUGAGACUGAUCCGGAAGGAGCUGACCCUUGAUCACACUUCCCACAGCUGGGCAGCACAUUCUCCCUUGAAGGGGAUCUCUCGGUGCAUCUCUGUAUCCACCACUAGAGGCUUCUCAGA
rnacentral:lncRNA from 10 species